GAAACUAUAUAUAGUUUUUUUUUUAAACCCUUCUGAUAGAGAAGUAUAGAGAUGCAAAAGAAAAAUAUUGAGUGUCUCCAAUUUAAGUUGCUUGCUCAGUUCUGGCAUUCUGUAAUGAAUCUGAGUUAGGCUUGACUUGGGGUUGAAAAACUUUGCAACUGCUUCAUACUGAUUCUCUUCCUCAAAAGGCUUUGACACAUGUCGUACUGGUACCUGAUUCAAAUACUCUGUUUCAACAUGUUCCUAAGAUAUGAAGCUUCCAUAUAAAUUGCAAAAAAAAUUCAUAUUAACACAGCAGCUAUCAUGUUAAUACUUUUAAUUGGUUAGUUUCUAGAUUAUCUGCAAAUAAUACAGCAAAAAAAUUCAAAUAUACCCGUCCAUUUCUGACAUUUGAAUAUCCAUGAAGCAAACAUAAAAAAUUGUGAGGCAAUGGAAGCAUUUCUAGUGCAGCUUUGCCAUGAAGGGUUGCUUAUUAGUUAUAACAACAGAAGUUACGUAACAUGAGCAAGAAUUGUCAACGGUGAACCAUGUUAGAAGAUUUGAAAUGGCACGUUAAUUACUCCAUGGCCAAUAUAU
rnacentral:lncRNA from 1 species